UACGAAGGGGGCUAGCGUUGCUCGGAAUCACUGGGCGUAAAGCACACGUAGGCGGAUCUUUAAGUCAGGGGUGAAAUCCUGGAGCUCAACUCCAGAACUGCCUUUGAUACUGGAGAUCUCGAGUCCGGAAGAGGUGAGUGGAACUCCGAGUGUAGAGGUGAAAUUCGUAGAUAUUCGGAAGAACACCAGUGGCGAAGGCGGGUCUCUGGGCCGAUAUUGACGCUGAGGAGCGAAAGCGUGGGGAGCGAACAGG
rnacentral:rRNA from 1 species